GCCACCCUAGCUCAAUCGGUAGAGCACCCGACUUGUAAUCGGAAGGUUGUCGGUUCGAUUCCGAUGGGUGGCUCCA
rnacentral:tRNA from 3 species